UAAUACAGAGGGUGCAAGCGUUAAUCGGAUUUACUGGGCGUAAAGGGUGCGUAGGUGGCUUUUUAAGUCGGAUGUGAAAGCCCGGGGCUUAACCUCGGAAUUGCAUUCGAUACUGGGAGGCUAGAGUUCGGUAGAGGGCGGCGGAAUUCCCGGUGUAGCGGUGAAAUGCGUAGAUAUCGGGAGGAACAUCAAUGGCGAAGGCAGCCGCCUGGGCCUGGACUGACACUGAGGCACGAAAGCGUGGGUAGCAAACAGG
rnacentral:rRNA from 1 species